GACGAACGCUGGCGGCGUGCCUAAUACAUGCAAGUCGAACGCAGUGGGGACGGGUGAGUAACACGUGGGUAACCUCCCAUCAGAGGGGAUAACACUUGGAAACAGGUGCUAAACCGAUACUGAUGGAUGGACCCGCGGUGCAUUAGCUAGUUGGUGAGGUAACGGCUCACCAAGGCCACGAUGCAUAGCCGACCUGAGAGGGUGAUCAGCCACACUGGGACUGAGACACGGCCCAGACUCCUACGGGAGGCAGCAGUAGGGAAUGUUCGGCAAUGGACGAAAGUCUGAACGAGCAAUGCCGCGUGAGUGAAGAAGGUUUUCGGAUUGUAAAACUCUUUUGGUAGAGAAGCGUUAUCUAAACAGUAAGCAACGGCUAACUACGUGCCAGCAGCCGCGGUAAUAC
rnacentral:rRNA from 1 species